rnacentral:rRNA from 1 species
GACGAACGCUGGCGGCGUGCUUAACACAUGCAAGUCGAACGGAAAGGCCCUGCUUUUGUGGGGUGCUCGAGUGGCGAACGGGUGAGUAACACGUGAGUAACCUGCCCUUGACUUUGGGAUAACUUCAGGAAACUGGGGCUAAUACCGGAUAGGAGCUCCUGCUGCAUGGUGGGGGUUGGAAAGUUUCGGCGGUUGGGGAUGGACUCGCGGCUUAUCAGCUUGUUGGUGGGGUAGUGGCUUACCAAGGCUUUGACGGGUAGCCGGCCUGAGAGGGUGACCGGCCACAUUGGGACUGAGAUACGGCCCAGACUACUACGGGAGGCAGAAGUGGGGAAUAGUGCACAAUGGGCGGAAGCCUGAUGCAGUAACGCCGCGUGCGGGAUGACGGCCUUCGGGUUGUAAACCGCAUUCGCCUGUGACGAAGCGUGAGUGACGGUAAUGGGUAAAGAAGCACCGGCUAACUACGUG